AGAUGAGAUGAGUAUUCUAAGGCGCGUGAAAGAACUCUGGUUAAGGAACUCUGCAAACUAGCACCGUAAGUUCGCGAUAAGGUGUGCCGCAGCAAUGUGGUCUCAGCAAAGAGUCCCUCCCGACUGUUUACCAAAAACACAGCACUUUGCCAACUCGUAAGAGGAAGUAUAAGGUGUGACGCCUGCCCGGUGCUCGAAGGUUAAGAGGAUGCGUCAGUCGCAAGAUGAAGCGUUGAAUUGAAGCCCGAGUAAACGGCGGCCGUAACUAUAACGGUCCUAAGGUAGCGAAAUUCCUUGUCGGUUAAAUACCGACCUGCAUGAAUGGCGUAACGAGAUGGGAGCUGUCUCAACCAGAGAUUCAGUGAAAUUGUAGUGGAGGUGAAAAUUCCUCCUACCCGCGGCAAGACGGAGAGACCCCGUGGACCUUUACUACAACUUAGCACUGCUAAUGGGAAUAUCAUGCG
rnacentral:rRNA from 1 species